AUGUAGGGCAAUCUGUCUUUAAGUAGGAAUAAAUUACUCUAAAAAAAAAUGAAUCCUAGAUAGUUUUCCCUUCAAGUCAAGCAUCUUGU
rnacentral:pre_miRNA from 1 species